rnacentral:tRNA from 1 species
UCAUUGGUGGUUCAGUGGUAGGAUUCUCACCUCCCAUGUGAGAGACCCGAGUUCAAUUCUCAGCCAACGCA